AGUCAAUAGAUACCCUGGUAGUCCACGCUGUAAACGAUGUGUGCUAGACGUUGGGAGACCUAGUCUCUCGGUGUCGCCGCUAACGCAUUAAGCACACCGCCUGGGGAGUACGGCCGCAAGGUUAAACUCAAAGGAAUUGACGGGGGCCCGCACAAGCGGUGGAGCAUGUGGUUUAAUUCGACGCAACGCGAAGAACCUUACCAGCUCUUGACAUGGGACGUAUGGGGAUCGGAGACGGUCUUCUUCAGUUCGGCUGGCGUCCACACAGGUGCUGCAUGGCUGUCGUCAGCUCGUGUCGUGAGAUGUUGGGUUUAAGUCCCGCAACGAGCGCAACCCUCAUCUUCAGUUGCCAUCAGGUGAAGCUGGGCACUCUGGAGAAACUGCCGGUGACAAGCCGGAGGAAGGCGGGGAUGACGUCAAGUCCUCAUGGCCCUUAUGAGCUGGGCUACACACGUGCUACAAUGGCGGUGACAGA
rnacentral:rRNA from 1 species